GAGCAGAGAACAGAGGUACCGGAUUUAGAAAACGGGGCCGUGAUUCCGCCGAUCUGAAAUUUAUUCGUGACGAUGACUAAUAAUAAAGAAACAGAAAUAGAGGGGGAGAGGAAGUAGCGGGCUGCCGUUUAUGCGGCUUGUCUCGCGACCUGGAUGGAGAUUAAUCGAGCUGACCAGGAGGCGUCCAAUGGGUGUUUCGUUCCGCCUUAACUACCUGUAGAUGACGCGUUAGAAACCCUCGAUGUUGCGAAGCUUUUCAAGCUGAGAUUAAAUGUUGAAUAACGCUGAGGUUUCUGAUGGUAAAUAUGGACAUGGCAUUCCUCUCCACGAGAGAAUUUUCGUAAAUUGCGGAAAAUGUUUAGCUGAUGAUGGGACACCUCGAUGCACUUCUUGAAGAGGAUCCAAGUGACGCUUUCGUUGCAAGGCGGUGUCGUUAACGAGCCCAGGAAAGCAAGAUUUGUUACCGACUGUACUUGUUGUGAACGAAAAGAUCACGAACACGGUUGACAAUUUCAAUACGUGAUUGGAUAAGGAUCAAGGCUGGAUUACACGCAUGGAAUAUUCACUAGUGACAUUUCCAAGCUAU